UACGUAGGCAGCGAGCGUUGUUCGGAGUUACUGGGCGUAAAGGGUUUGUAGGUGGCCCGCUAAGUCACACGUGAAAUCCCUCAGCUUAACUGGGGAACUGCGUGUGAGACUGGCAGGCUUGAGUGCAGGAGAGGAACGCGGAAUUCCAGGUGUAGCGGUGAAAUGCGUAGAUAUCUGGAGGAACACCGGUGGCGAAGGCGGCGUUCUGGACUGUAUCUGACACUGAAGAACGAAAGCCAGGGGAGCAAACGGG
rnacentral:rRNA from 1 species